rnacentral:rRNA from 1 species
GUGGUGUUCAGGUUGUUCCGCAAAGGUACUGCUCCACCCUAAGUCCAUAAAUGAGUACGGUGGUACGGACAUGGCCCACAGAGGGUGAAAGGCCCGUGGGGGUGGAGACCAGGUAGGCCAGUAUCUUUCUGGAUAGACCUUGGAGUCGGGUUGUUUGUGAAUGCAGCCCAAAGUGGGUGGUAAACUCCAUCCAAGGCUAAAUACAAGCACGAGUCCGAUAGCGAACAAGUACCGUGAGGGAAAGUUGAAAAGUACUUUGAAGAGAGAGUAAACAGUGCGUGAAACCGGUCAGAGGUAAACGGGUGGAGUUGAACUGCAAGCUCUGGGAAUUCAGCUGGUGAGUGUGGCUGGAGCUUGGCUAAUAUGUUGAGCCCUGGAGUCUGCGUAGCAGCAGGCCUUUGCCCCUUGUGGGUGAGGGUGCGCGAUGCACUUACCAAGUGUUGUGCGCUCUGGGUGUUCAUCGAGCUGACUCGCCAGUGCACUUUCUCAGAGUGGUCAUCACGACCGGCACCGCUGUCUGGCUGGUGUGGUUAAACCGAUCUCGUAUUGUCCUUGUGGCUCUGCUUGGUCGGGAUGGCAGGUAGCUCGGUGAUUUGCCUGUGAUCUUCGGUCGCGGGCGCUGGUCAUUGAGUGUAACUGGCUGACCACAUUGGUUCUGUGCAGUGUGUCGGAGACGGCGGCUUUUGUGUGUGCGCGCGUGCCUGUCUGGCCGGCGUGUCCGGGUUUGGUCGUUUGUGCCUGUUCACGCAGGCCUGGCGAUGGCUCGGGUUCGUUCGGUUGGCGGUUGCGUGCGUGGCA